rnacentral:rRNA from 1 species
CGCGGUAUCUUGACCGUGCGAAGGUAGCAUAGUCAUUAGUCUUUUAAUUGAAGGCUUGUAUGAAGGGCCGGACGAGAGAGAGACUGUCUUUGUUGAAAUAAUAGAAUUUAACUUUUAGGUGAGAGGGCUUAAAUAUCUUAGGGGGACGAUAAGACCCUAUAAAAUUUGAUAUCCUACUUGUUAAGGGGAAAAUAAGAGGGUAAUUUUUAUUAGCGGGAGUGAUGUUUUGUUGGGGCGACUAAAGUAUAAAGAAUUUAACUGUUUUAUAUUGGUACAAAAAUAUUUGAGGGUUUGAUCCUUAGUAAAGAUGAUAGAGUAAAUUACUUUAGGGAUAACAGCGUAAUUUUUUUUGAGAGUUCUUAUCGAAAAGAGAGUUUGCGACCUCGAUGUUGAAUCAAAGAAUUCUUUAUGGUGCAGAAGUUAUAAAAGAAGGUCUGUUCGACCUUUAA